rnacentral:rRNA from 1 species
UCGAGAAUUUUUCUCAAUGGGCGAAAGCCUGAAGGAGCGACGCCGCGUGGGGGAUGAAGGGUUUCGAUCCGUAAACCCCUGUCAUUUGUGAACAAUGGUUAUUCAUGAAUAAUGAGUGACUUGAUAGUAAUGAAAGAGGAAGGGACGGCUAACUCUGUGCCAGCAGCCGCGGUAAUACAGAGGUCCCGAGCGUUGUUCGGAUUCACUGGGCGUAAAGGGUGCGUAGGUGGCAUGGUAAGUUUGAUGUGAAAGCUCAGGGCUCAACCCUGAAAUGGCAUUGAAUACUACUGUGCUGGAGGUUUGGAGGGGGGACUGGAAUUCUUGGUGUAGCAGUGAAAUGCGUAGAUAUCAAGAGGAACACCAGUGGCGAAGGCGAGUCCCUGGACAACACCUGACACUGAGGCACGAAAGCCGGGGGAGCAAACAGGAUUAGAUACCCUGGUAGUCCCGGCCUAAACGGUGCGCAUUUGCUGUAGGAGGAAUCGA